UACGUAGGGUGCAAGCGUUGUCCGGAAUUAUUGGGCGUAAAGAGCUCGUAGGCGGUUUGUUGCGUCGGCUGUGAAAUCCCGAGGCUCAACCUCGGGUCUGCAGUCGAUACGAGCAAACUAGAGUGUUGCAGGGGAGACUGGAAUUCCUGGUGUAGCGGUGAAAUGCGCAGAUAUCAGGGAGGAACACCGGUGGCGAAGGCGGGU
rnacentral:rRNA from 1 species